UUAUUGAUUUUCCAAAAAUAAAAUUGGAAUCAAAAGGGUAUAAUUCAGACGCCAACCUAAGCAUCUUUAUUUAUACUCUUUCAUUCAUUUUCUGUAACCCCUUGCUAUACUUUCUCUACUAAAAAAACCAUGUGUUGAUGCAUAUCUCUCCUCUGCUAAUUAAUAUUUUCAUCUUCUACAAAGAACAAGCUGGAUUAAUAAUUAAAGGUGGGAUUUAUUACUCGAUGGAAAGGAUUAAGCCUGCAGAAGGAUGUUUCCCUGGCGUGAUGAAAAUUGAAAGAGAAGAGAGGAAAGUACUGUGAACCAUUUCAGAUAAAUAUACCUGCCGUGAAUAACAGAUAUGAGGAACCCAGCAGAGCAGAUAGAUUCAAGAUCAGUCCGCGAUAUCUUAUGAGUCCAGCAAGCAUUUAUCUGCCCAUCAAAUCCACAAUUUGACUGCAUCCCGGAUGCUGAUAUGCCUUUGAUGUAUUCCUGCCACACCCAAAAAAAAGAUCCUACAGCCCUCUGCUCAGGAGUUUUUGCCUUCAAAAAGCGGACUGCAAUAGAUAGAGUUUGACGAUCGAGCUGCAGCAAGAAAGACCAUAUGAGCACGAGAACAAACACAAUAACGCUUUGUUUGACUCAAGUAUGUAAUGAGCAGCGGACAGAGGAAGCAUUGUGUUUUAAGGUACAACAUAAUUUAGCUCACAUCCAUUUAAUGCAAUUAGCAGACUCAUUAAUUUUACAGGAUCUUAUUCAACACAGUAAUUUAUUUUAACUAUGCCAACAUGUUGAAUAUUUCUUUAGUCUUCAGAUCAACUGCUUGACUAUUCUAUGAUGCCAUCCAGAAAAGUUGGUGGGACUAGGAACUAUAUUGGAUAGUCAACUGCUUGACUAUUCUAUGAUGCCAUCCAGAAAAGUUGGUGGGACUAGGAACUAUAUUGGAUAGUCAACUGCUUGACUAUUCUAUGAUGCCAUCCAGAAAAGUUGGUGGGACUAGGAACUAUAUUGGAUGGCUGUACCCCCUGCCAAACUACCAAAGCAGCAGGUUGACAUGCAGCAUUUCACUGGAUUAAGGGGUUGAGUAUCUCCUGAGCCCUUUGAGAGCAUGAAGUAGAGGUAGAGUAGGAUUACCUAAUCUACAAAUAUAUGCCAUAUUUCUGAUAUUUAUAUAUCUCAUGUGAAAAUAUGAGCAUGCAAGAUCCGCCUUUCCUCGAACGUGGGAUUGCUACUACAGUACUGUAGUGCUAAUUAAUUCAAUUGCAGGGGGGUAUCAUAUAUGCUACUGAUUGUUACCGUAAAAACCAGCACAGCAUUUCCUCCUUUCUCAAACACACUAGCAUCUCUGCCUCUCUCACACCCACACACACGCGCAUACACACACGAACACACACGAUUGGACAAGAUAAGAAUAUUCCACAAAAAGUGAAAUCUGUGAUUUUUCCUAUUGAGAUCAUACACUAGCAUCUCUGCCUCUCUCACACCCACACACACGAACACACACGAUUGGACAAGAUAAGAAUAUUCCACAAAAAGUGAAAUCUGUGAUUUUUCCUAUUGAGAUCAUACAAAAUGUCAAUGUUCCACUAUGCCACAUGCUCUUUUUUAUCAUACUGGUGUCUGGGGCAGCUUCGGCACACUUCGACUAUUCCACUGGGUACCUACUCCUCCCACCAGCAUAGAUACCAGGUAACUCUGCCCACCAAGCCUUGGGCAGAUGAAGAAAUUACCUAGUAUUUUUUGCCUCCCUGGGAUUUGAACCUAAAACCUCAUGGUUCUACUCCGGGUUCAUUAACCACUAGGCCACACCCUUGGGUGCCCUCUAUGCCACAUACUGAUGGAUACAUUCUUUAAGAUUUAUGUAUCACACCUUAUUUCUUAUCAUUAUGUAUAGUUUUUGGAUAAGUAUGUACAGGAGAGACCUUAUAAGCACCAAAAUAACUGUGUAUUGUGACAUAAGCAUCAUCCAGCAGUAAAUCAUGAGACAAUUGGUGACGCCAUCAUGCAUUUACAGUUAGUUUUGUAAAUGUUAGGAGCAAGUGUUAAGUAAGAAGUUUGAGUCUGUGCCUUACAAUUCGUUGGUUAAGAACUUAUUCACUCUGCACAGAAGUUGCAAAUUCUGAAUGCUGCAUCUGAGUGUUCAAGCCUACAUGUUGAUUUACCUAGUGCAAACGGGACUUCAGGAUAGUGCAAGUUUUAUAGAAUUUCCAUUUUCAAUUUGAUCAUGUUUCUUAUUUCAGGGAUACACAAGUAUUAUUCCGAGAAAAGAAUCAAACAAAGAUAAAAUUGCGUUAGGAGCUUCAAGUUCUUGUUUAAGCAAGCUUAGAGCAUCACUGCACCAGAAGUCCAACCAAAAAGUUAUCUUUUAGAGUACACACAAGCAACGUACAUGUGGUAGACAAAGGCAUCCACAUGUAUUCCCCCAGAGAGAAAAUUCUUUCUGUGGUUUGUUCAAGACCCACAUACCAGUGUUAUUAAAAGCCAGCACUUGGCCGCCUAAACCGACUAAGCUGUGCGAAGCGAGAGGUUAUCGCUUCCUGGGUCAAGUCAUGCGUUUCCAAGAAGUUUGCACGCCAAACAUUGACGCGCCAAGUGAUCCCAAUGAGAAGUAGCAGGCUUUUGGAUCUCAACUUUAGAGAGCUGGAUUAAUAUUGACAUUAUUGUAUAUUUGGAUGCUGAAAUGUUAUUUUAGUAGCAAUUCAAUUCUUAUAGUAAUAAAUUCAUACCAUAUGUUAAAAUUUUUAAAUUUUUCGUAAA